UGCACGGUGGCGCAGUUGGUAGCACUGUUGCUGUGCAGCAAGAAGGUCCUGGGUUCGAUUCCCGGCCGGGGGUCUUUCUGCAU